rnacentral:rRNA from 1 species
GACAGAGGGGGCAAGCGUUGCUCGGAAUUACUGGGCGUAAAGGGCGCGUAGGCGGGAUGGCAAGUCGGUCGUGAAAUCCCUCGGCUCAACCGAGGAACGUCGAUCGAUACUGCUGUUCUUGAGGAUUGCAGAGGAGACUGGAAUUCCCGGUGUAGCGGUGAAAUGUGUAGAGAUCGGGAGGAACACCGGUGGCGAAGGCGGGUCUCUGGGCAAUUCCUGACGCUGAGGCGCGAAAGCGUGGGGAGCGAAACGGG